CCUACGGGAGGCAGCAGUGGGGAAUAUUGCGCAAUGGGCGAAAGCCUGACACAGCGACGCCGCGUGAGGGAUGAAGGUCUUCGGAUCGUAAACCUCUGUCAGCAGGGAAGAACGGUCACUGUGCUAAUCAGCAGUGAAUUGACGGUACCUGCAAAGGAAGCACCGGCUAACUCCGUGCCAGCAGCCGCAGUAAUACGGAGGGUGCGAGCGUUAAUCGGAAUUACUGGGCGUAAAGCGCUCGUAGGCGGUAUGUCAAGUCAAGGGUGAAAUCCCCGCGCUCAACGUGGGAACUGCCUUUGAAACUGGCAGACUGGAGUGUGUGAGAGGAUAGUGGAAUUCCAGGUGUAGGAGUGAAAUCCGUAGAUAUCUGGAGGAACAUCAGUGGCGAAGGCGACUAUCUGGCACAUAACUGACGCUGAGGAGCGAAAGCGUGGGUAGCAAACAGGAUUAGAUACCCUUGUAGUC
rnacentral:rRNA from 1 species